GACGAACGCUGACGGUGUGCUUUAACAUGCAAGUCGAACGAGAAAGCCCUUCGGGGUUAGUAAAGUGGCGAACGGGUGCGUAACACGUGGGUAAUCUACCCCUCGCAGAGGGACAACCGGGGGAAACCCCGGCUAAUACCUCGUACGCUUGCCGGGCCGCAUGGUCCUGGUAAGGAAAGGUAGCUUCGGCCAUCCGGCGAGGGAUGAGCCCGCGGUACAUUAGCUAGUUAGGUGAGGUAACGGCUCACCAAGGCUACGAUGUAUAGCUGGUCUGAGAGGAUGAUCAGCCACACUGGGACUGAGACACGGCCCAGACUCCUACGGGAGGCAGCAGUCGGGAAUCUUGCACAAUGGGCGAAAGCCUGAUGCAGCAACACCGCGUGAGCGAGGAAGGCCUUCGGGUCGUAAAGCUCUGUUGUUAGGGGACGAAGGGCGAAGGGUUAAUAGCCCCUAGCCUGACGGUACCCUUCGAGGAAGCCCCGGCUAACUACGUGCCAGCAGACGCGGUAAUACGUAGGGGGCGAGCGUUGUACCGGAAUUAUAUGGGCGUAACAGAGCGUGUAGGCGGCCUGGUAAAGUCUGCCGUGAAACCUUGGGGG
rnacentral:rRNA from 1 species